CUUUUCUUUAGGCUGACUUGCAUUAGAAACUCUUACCAUGUUACAUUACUUGUAGACCCAUGGCCAGCGUUCCCAAUGCGAGUAGGCUUGAAUGGCUCAGGGACCUUCAGUUUGACCCCAACUACCCUGCUAACACGAAACUCACAGAACUCAUUAGGGUGAGUGGUAACACUGUACUCAGAACAUACUUUUGUAUUCUAUCAAAGUAAACCCAACGCUGUGUUGUUGAUACAAAACACUCAGUAGUUGCUAUGGAUUCGAAUCAGGAAACAGCUAGAUUGCUGAAACAUGAAAGCUUGCCCAGAACACUUGGUUUGAAGUGGACGUUUGAAGUGAGCAUUUCAUAUUGUUUGACCAAUAGCAGGCCUGUGAGCAGAGAGACAGAGCCACGGGUCACUUCCACCUGCAUGUCCUGGAGGAGGAAUUUGAUUUCAACACAGAGGAGCAGCUGGAGAAGUCCAGACACGUUGGUCUUCUGCACUUGUGGAGCACUCAUGCUGUGGAUGUCAGCCCCUCAAACCCCAUCCCUCUCCACAACCGAGACAUCACUGAACCCAUGUUUGCUGUAAUGCCCUUCUCAUUAUUAGUCUUGUUCCAGAUUAGUUUGUGCUGUCUUGCCAAUUCCUACAGCAUGGUCAUUGUCAUGCAAAUGUUUGGCUAUACAGCACAAACAGAUCUGGGACCAGACGGCUUCAUCAAAUGAAAUGUUAUUUGUCACAUGUGCCGAAUGCAACAGGUGUAGACCUUACCGUGAAAUGCUUACUUACACGCCCUUAACCAACGAUGCAGUUUUAGGAGGAAAAAAAGUGUUGAAGUAUUUACUAAAAUAAACUGAAGAGAAAAAAAAUAAUAAGAAAAAAUAAGAAAAUAAAUAACAAUAACAAUAAAAUAACAGUUGCGAGGCUAUAUACAGGGAUACUGGUACAGAGUCAAUGUGCGGAGGCACUGGUUAGUUGAGAUAAUUGAGGUAAUAUGUACAUGUAGUUAUCCCUAUAUAGGAAUGUACAUGUACAUCCCUAUAUUCUGCAAUGUUUUGGCUUGGUUUCAGAAAUAGUUUCAUAGAUAGUUGCAUACAGGUACAUACUUUACUCUCUUUCUGCAAUAAUCUUGGGAGAUAAAUUUUGAACAAAAGUGGACUUUUGUCGCUUUGUUGUUACUCAGGAUUACAGUGCAUCCCCAAAUUCAACUGCAGUUAUUCUGCAAUUACUGCGUCCAAAAUACAACAGUUGACUGCAGUUACUGCACUUUUAAAAUUGCAAUAUUUUUUUCUAACGGUGCUGCUGCAAUGGGUGCUAAUGCAAAAGCACAGCCAAAGAGCAGCUUCACAGAUAGAACAAUGAGACAGAUAUUUCACCAGAUGUAUAUGGUAGCGAGAGGAAGCCCAGUUGCCGGUGUUGUUCUGAAAAUCUCCCCCCUGCCAGAAUUCCCCGCCAGCUCUUCACUCUGUUGUCAGUUUAGCCUACUUUUCACUGAUCUUAGUAGCAGAAAGAAAGUUUUCGGUUUGGCUUUUUGUUUCAAGUGUAUGUGGCUGUUCUAGCUUGUAUGGCGCCCGCCCCGCCUGCACCCGGGGACGCCCCCGGCAAGAUGCCGCCCUGAGCGGCUGCCCAUGUCGCCCGUACUUAAAUCCGCUGAUGAUUUUGUAUUCGUCUAUAAAUAAAUCUCUCUGACAAAAUUCGUCAUCUCUCCUAUGUCUUAUUCGACUAGUUUUUUUUUUUAAGUGUAAGAAUAAUAAUUUUGCCAUAGUUGUUUUGAAAUGUUUAUUGCUUGCCAACAUUUUACUCCCUCUGUUUAAUAUAACACACACACAUGUAUUAUUAAUUUCGGUUGCCUAUCCUGACGUGAAGUUUGUUCUAUAGAAAGUAUUUGGCUCUGAUGUUUGCCACUUAAAGUCUUUGACUCUAGCCAGAAAUUAUGGAAAUUAGAAGGGGUGGAGAAUUCUGGCAGGGGAGAGAUUUUUGGCACAACACCGGCAGUGGGAGAAGAUGGAAGAGGUGGAUUUUGGCCGACAUUCUGCUAAUUUACUCAUCGAUGAAACAUUUUAUUUCAAACUAGUUUUCUGUUCCCAAAACUACAAUCUGUUACGAACAGAGUGGACAAAGUUUUGUAGACUUUACCCUUUGCCAAUGAAAAAAAAAAGGAGUGCAAAGGCGAAUUGAGUAAUUGCACACGCGCACUUUAAGGAGUAGGCAUUUCACAACGGAACUAUGCAAAUGCAUGCUAACCUCUUGUUAGCUCGUGCUUGGCUCUGCCCACUAUGGCUCAUUUGUUUCCCUUUGAAACGACAGGCUGUGGUCUGUUUGUCUGCUUCUUCUUUAAAUUGAAAGGUGCAUACACUGAAAGGUGCAUACACCACCACCUACGGUACUGGAGUUGCCUUACCAACUAACUCUACACCCAUUAAAACAUCACCAAUAUUCCACUAAUGGCCCCAUCUGAUCCUAGACUAGGCCGGCAGGGUUCGUGUACCUUCUAGACAAUGGCUAUCCUACAUUAACCAGGAUGACUAAUAGUGAUUCACCACUCGUUAUCCGUUUUCUUUUAUUUCAAGUUGAUCGAAAUUGACAGAAAGCUAACUUUUUUGUUUUCCGUUUUUCGCUUCAGAUAUCGGACAACAAGCACUGUCAAGGUAGGCGGGAAAGGAGAGGGUGCGUUUUGAUUUUGUUCCUAGUGUAGUUAACAUAAGCUAACGUUACCGUUAGAGCAGCUAGCUAACCACACAGUCUCAAGUGAGUGUAAUUUGUGUUUGUGGCCAAAUCACCACAACUGUUUGUGGCUAGACAAGCUAGCUAGCUAACGUUAUUGCCAAGCUACAAAUUCACUGUUCUAUGAAGUUUGUGUUCUUAGUUGUGUUUGAUUUGACCGUCUAUUAUUGACCAUGUGUGGUUAAUGUAUGGUCUAUAUAUGAUCAGAGGGAUAUGUGGUGGAGAGGACAGUGAAUUCAGUGGAGGACAUGCCAGCCACUUGACAGUGUUGGCAUUGUUACUUCCUACCUGACGGGCAAGUGGACAUCACUUCUACUUGUGAUGUCAUAUCCUGUUAAGGUACGUUGCCAGCUAGUGCAGGUGGACUCUCCCCUCAACAUGAAGCUCCUGCUGCUCUCGCCCCAAAUACACACACACACACACACCCACUAUUAAGAGUGUUCCCCUAUUUACAUGUUUGUGUGUUGGGUAUCAGGUGAGGGAUGAUAAGCCAGUGUUUGAGAAGAGGCGUCUGGUGUGGGAGGACAUGCAGAUUCCCUCAAAGUUCCUGAAGGAGGAGUUGAAGGCGGAGCAUGCAUAGUACUGCAGCAGACAGCAGAUGGAGGUGUUUGGGGUGGAAAGGACAGUGGAUUCAGUUGGAGGACAUCCCAGCCACUUGGCAGUGUUGGCACUGCUACUUCCUACCUGACGGGCACCUGGCCACCCGAGUGCAGGUGGGCUCUCUGUCAACAUGAGGCUCUUACUGGUCCUACCCCAAGUACACACAUACACAGGUACACACACACAAACCACUAACCCCCUAAGUUUCCAACAUGACCUGACAUGUGUGUUACAGGAGUUGAAGGUGGAGCAUGCCUUGUACCAGCGGCAGCAUCCAGAGCUCAAAGCCAUGAUGGAUCGACUUCUUGCAGUUCCUGCUACUACAAAAACUGAGCGAGGUCAUCAUGUUCGCCCGCAAGGACUUCUUUGCCUCCUGCCAAAUUCCGGGUGGCACCCUCAACACCUCCUCACCCUGAGGGCACACAUUGUGACUGUGUCUGUGUCUCAAUAGUCUAGUAGCUUUCUUUGACUGGCACUUUAGAGGACAAUACUAUUCUGGUUAGCACUUGUCACCAGUAUGUACAGAGGCCCUCAAGAUCUAGAGUAUUGAUAAAAUACAAAUGCUUUUAUGGAUGUUUUUUAUUUUGUGAUAAUGUUUUUACUGUCUUGUUUGUAUGAGGUGCACUGAAACAAAUUCCUAAUCAACUCUGUUGAUAUGGCAAUCGCAAGAGGCCCAGUUAUGUCAGUUAUUGUGAAUGAAAAUAAAAUGUAUCAUUUCA